rnacentral:rRNA from 1 species
GCUGGCGGCAGGCUUAACACAUGCAAGUCGAACGGUAACAGAGAAUAGCUUGCUAGUUUUGCUGACGAGUGGCGGACGGGUGAGUAAUGCUUGGGUAUAUGCCAAUAGGUCGGGGGACAACAGUUGGAAACGACUGCUAAUACCGCAUAAUCUCUUCGGAGCAAAGCAGGGGACCUUCGGGCCUUGCGCCUAUUGAUUAGCCCAAAGUGGGAUUAGCUAGUUGGUAAGGUAAUGGCUUACCAAGGCGACGAUCCCUAGCUGGUCUUAGAGGAUGACCAGCCACACUGGAACUGAGACACGGUCCAGACUCCUACGGGAGGCAGCAGUGGGGAAUAUUGCACAAUGGAGGAAACUCUGAUGCAGCCAUGCCGCGUGUGUGAAGAAGGCUUUCGGGUUGUAAAGCACUUUCAGCGAGGAGGAAAGGGCGAUGGUUAAUAACUAUCGUCUGUGACGUUACUCGCAGAAGAAGCACCGGCUAACUCCGUG